rnacentral:rRNA from 1 species
CGAAGGGUGCAAGCGUUACUCGGAAUUACUGGGCGUAAAGCGUGCGUAGGUGGUUCGUUAAGUCUGAUGUGAAAGCCCUGGGCUCAACCUGGGAAUUGCAUUGGAUACUGGCGGGCUAGAGUACGGUAGAGGGUGGCGGAAUUCCCGGUGUAGCAGUGAAAUGCGUAGAGAUCGGGAGGAACAUCCGUGGCGAAGGCGGCCACCUGGACCAGUACUGACACUGAGGCACGAAAGCGUGGGGAGCAAACAGGAUU